UUAGACCGUUAGCUCAAUCACAAAAUUGUCAUAAUAUUCAUAUUCCAUCGAUCUGUUAAGAAGUGCGUGCGUGCGUACUUGGUACCCAGGGUUUUUGUGUUAUUCCGGCGCGAGCUCGAGUGAGAAAAUGCAAGCUGCAAUGAAGCAGAAACUGAAACUCCUCUACAAUUCCAACUUCAAAUCUCUCUUUACACUCUCAUCAUUCAAAUUUCAUUCUUAUUCCUCUCCGCUAAACUCAUUACCACAUUCUUCCACCGCCACCAACUCCUUCACCACUCCAUGGUCCAUCAUUCAACGACGUGGAAACAAAAUCGUUGGUUCUGAUAUCAGAGUCGGAAAAAAGAUCGGAAAACAAGGGCGCAUUUACGAGGUUCUUAAAGUAGAUCAUUCUCAUGAAGGACGAGGAAAAGCCACACUGAAGGUGGAACUUCUUGACAUUAUCCAGGGAACCAAGGUAUCACAAAGAAUUGCCACUGAUGAUGAGUUCGAAAAGGCCUAUAUUCAGGAAAAGAAUUUCAUGUACAUGUGCACGGAUCAAGAUGGUACUGUAGUAUUAAUGGACACUGAUACGUUGGAUCAAAUUGAAGUUUCCAAAGAGUUGUUUGGCAAGAAUUGUUUAUACAUACAAGAUGAAAUGAAAGUUAAGGUACAAUUUUACGAUGACAAACCUAUAUCUGCAACAGUUCCAAAACGUGUAAUAUGUACUGUCAAGGAGGUGAUUGCAGCCACUCCAAGGAGACCAACUAUGUUUCCCAGUCAUAGGACAUUCCCAAGCAUGCAGUUUGCGAAUGAUAGUUAAAAGUAUCAUCAUCAGCUUCAUAGCUGGGACUUUUCUGUGGAAAUGGAAAUUUAUAGGCUGUAAAGUUACGAAUUUACUCACAGUUGCUGCCAAAGUUAUAAACAGCACAUUCAUCAAACAUUAGGAUAAAACUUGGUAAGGAACAGAAAGAAAAAAUUCCCAAAAAAGUUGAAUGGCAGCCAAAAUAUAUCAUAAAAUUUGGAUCCCCUCAUAAAGAUAUGCCCAAGGAGUGAAAGAUUCCCUGCAGCACUGAAUGCCCACCUUAAUGAGGAAUAAAAAGGUAACACUGGACAAUGGUCCUACAAUCGAAGUCCCCCCUCACAUUGUAGCCGGUGAUGCCAUUCUUGUUAAUACAGAGGACGACUGCUACAUUGAAAGGGCUAAGGCAUAGGGUGUGUUCAGCCAGAGUUUGUGCAGACUGUGUGAAACAACAUCCAUUUUAUUAUGCUCAUGAAUUUUGAAGCAGAUACAACCAACCUAUGCUAUCCUUCCCCCUCCCCUAUAUCUCUAGGUAAUAAGCCUUUCCUUUAUGUCCAAUUGAUGAUUUUAAUGUAUCCGUGGGCAAUGACUUUAGGUUUAGCUGUGAUAUCCGAAUUUUGUGUAUCUUGGUUCAGUUUAUGCACGUCAUAGAGAAGCAUUGGAAAAUUAUUUCACUUCUUGAAGUUUAAAAAAAAAAGUCAUCGGUUCCACUGAGUUUACUCAUUGGUGGGAUCCGGGGCAAGAUACUAUGAUUGUCAACUGCAAGAGAUGUUUUCAAUCCUUGUCAUCAAUUUCUUGGGAACGUCAUCUUUCAUCAACUUAUAGAUAGACGACUUAUUUGGGUGUGACAGCAAAUUUGUUAUUUUACGUUAUUAAGGCCCCGUUUGGAUAAACAGCUUAUAUAGAUGCUUAUAGCAUUAGUGCUUAUGACAUUAGAGCUUAUAUCAUAAGCUCUUAUACUUGAUAA